CAGGUUCUCUGGCUUGACGUCCCGGUGCAGGACACCACGGCUCUCACAGUGUUUCAGCGCUGCGAUCAGCUGCACCAGCACUUUCUUGGUCAGACGCU
ensembl:miRNA